rnacentral:rRNA from 1 species
CCUACGGGGGGCAGCAGUGGGGAAUAUUGGACAAUGGGGGCAACCCUGAUCCAGCCAUGCCGCGUGUGUGAAGAAGGCCCUCGGGUUGUAAAGCACUUUCAGUGAGGAAGAACGCCUGGUGGUUAAUACCCAUCAGGAAAGACAUCACUCACAGAAGAAGCACCGGCUAACUCCGUGCCAGCAGCCGCGGUAAUACGGAGGGUGCGAGCGUUAAUCGGAAUUACUGGGCGUAAAGCGCGCGUAGGUGGCUUGAUAAGCCGGUUGUGAAAGCCUCGGGCUCAACCUGGGAACGGCAUCCGGAACUGUCAAGCUAGAGUGCAGGAGAGGAAGGUAGAAUUCCCGGUGUAGCGGUGAAAUGCGUAGAGAUCGGGAGGAAUACCAGUGGCGAAGGCGGCCUUCUGGACUGACACUGACACUGAGGUGCGAAAGCGUGGGUAGCAAACAGGAUUAGAUACCCCAGUAGUC